AAAACGAUGUAAUUUUUUGACGGAAAUCGGCAAUCCAAACAAGGCAAAUUUCCCCAAAACUCCAAAACGCAAUCCCUCCUCUUCUCUCCCAAAAAUCAAUGCAAUGCAAUUGGCAGUAACUCCAAAACCCAAUCCAACCAACAACACCUUUUCUAACCCGAACUUUUAUCCAAAUUUCACUUCCCCCAAAACCCAAUCCCUCAAAUUCUCCCCCUCCUCUUCAUCAUCUAACGUUCCCUUUAAUCUAUUCUACAGCUUCAGUCCCAGACGCCGUCGUUUGAGCCCUAUCAUAGCCCGAGCUGCUGCCAAGACUCCCGAUUACUACUCGGUUCUCAGCGUCAGUAAAAAUGCUUCCUUGCAAGACAUCAAAGCUGCCUAUCGCAAACUCGCCCGCAAGUAUCAUCCUGAUGUGAAUAAAAAGCCAGGUGCUGAAGAAAAGUUCAAAGAGAUUAGUGCUGCUUAUGAGGUGUUAUCAGAUGAUGAGAAAAGGUCUGCAUAUGAUCGCUUUGGUGAGGCAGGUUUACGUGGAGAUUUUGUUGGUUCCACUAGUGGUUCGCAAGGAGUGGAUCCUUUCGAAAUCUUUUCUGAAUAUUUUGGUGAGUCGAGCAGUUUCUUCGGAGGAAGUGGUGAACCAGGGGGUUUCAAUUUCAGUUUUAGAAGUAAGAGCCGUCAAGAUCUUGACAUUAGAUAUGACUUGUGUUUGAGUUUUGAGGAAUCAAUUUUUGGAAGUCAGCGAGAAAUUGAAGUACCUUCUUUAGAGACAUGCAAUGAUUGCAGUGGUACAGGUGCAAAAACCAGCAAUAGUAUAAAAAUAUGCAAUGCAUGUGGAGGUAGAGGUGGAGUGGCUAAAACUCAACAAACACCUUUCGGAAUAAUGUCUCAGGUGUCUACAUGUGCAAAAUGUGGGGGUGUUGGUAAGAUAAUCACAGACCAUUGUCGAACAUGUGGUGGCAAUGGUCGGAUACAGUCAAAAAGAAGAAUUAACAUAGUGAUUCCACCUGGUAUUGAUAAUGGAGCAACAAUGCAAGUUCAAGGAGAGGGAAAUAUUGACAACAAAAGGGGCAUAGCUGGUGACCUCUUCAUUGUUCUCCAUAUAGAAGAAAAGCACGGGAUUCAGAGGGACGGUCUCAAUUUGUACUCAAAAGUCAAAGUUGAUUUUACUGAAGCCAUUCUGGGUACUGUUGUCAAGGUCAGAACAGUGGAGGGUAUCAGAGAUCUUCACAUCCCUCCUGGAAUUCAGCCUGGGGAUACAAUAAAGAUGCGGUCCAUGGGAGUUCCGCAUAUAAAAAAGCCCUCUGUACGAGGCGAUCAUUGCUUCUCUGUAAAUAUUCAGAUCCCGAAAGAUAUCAGAUUGUUCGGUAUGCGCCAUUGGAUAUUUGUCUUGACUACUACAAGGUUAUUCUGUAUUUAACAUGCUUCCAUGAUGACACUAGUGAUGCAGAACGCUCACUAGUUGAAGAGUUGGCUUUGCUGAGGCAAACAUCCAGGGACAGCAUUUCAUCCAGUGAGAUACCUGGAGGUGAUGAUCAUGACCAGCAUACAAAGCCUGCUUUAGAUCAUCGGGGCAAAAGUAUGGCCUAUCUGUGGAAGUCAAUUAAGGACUUUUUGGGGAAAAAGCAAUCUGGUAAAAGAUUCGCAUCGGUUGGCAUGGAAGCACCAGUUUCAUGGAGAGUUACUAGUCCCCUGCCACGUUGUUCACUCAUGAUUUACUCUCCUGCAAUUUUCAUCAUGACACUUGUGUUCACCUUGGUGGGAAGAACAGCUUACUGUAAAUUAUUUAGACAAAAGCCAAAAACCAAAAGUACUUCCCCGCACCCUGAAAGAACACAAGGCCAGCGCUAGUUGCAUUUGCCAUUUCUUGCAGUUUGUACCAAACUUGUAUUAAAAGCAUUAGUAGUGGGGCGACUUGUGCAAUUCAACUAUUUUUUUAUCUGUUACUCAAAAGAUGCUUUAGAGUGUAGAUGACUAUUGACUUGACUUAUUGGGUAUAGCCAAGUUUUGGGUCAGGUUGGCGCACUUUGCAGGCAUUAUACCUCGUUGAAAUGUUGUCUCUUUUGAUCAGCAAACUUGUCUAUAAUGCAGUAAUGUAUAGAUUAUCUAUGAGAUGUGGAUUUUGAUUGCA